CCGUGCGGCUCCAAGGGACCCAAGCUGCUGAUGCCCGCCGGGGAUGAAGAAAAUUCACCUACUGAGGAAAAUACAGAAAACCUUGAUGCUCCAUCUUCAUCUAGAAAAGGAUCUAGUAAAUCCCAGUGUCUCAAUGAUACAGAAGGCGAAACAUCAGAUGGGGUGAGUAAAUCUGUCCAUCGGGUCUUUGCUUCCAUGCUUGGAGAAAAUGAGGACGAAGAAGAGGAGGAGGAAGAGGAGGAGGAGGAAGAGGAGGAGGAGGAGGAGGAGGAAGAUGAUGACGAAACCUCUGAGCAACCCUCAGCUGGAGAUGUUUUUGCAUUGGAGAUGGUGUUAAACAGGGAGAACAAGAAAAUGAUGAAAGAGAAAAGACCUCGCAGUAAACUUCCUCGAGCCCUGAGAGGCCUCAUGGGAGAAGCCAACAUUAGGUUUGCUCGAGGAGAACGUGAGGAAGCUAUACUGAUGUGUAUGGAAAUCAUAAGACAAGCUCCUCUUGCUUAUGAGCCAUUUUCUACUCUUGCCAUGAUCUAUGAAGACCAAGGUGACAUGGAGAAAUCAUUGCAGUUUGAAUUGAUUGCAGCUCACUUAAACCCUAGUGACACCGAAGAGUGGGUUAGACUAGCAGAAAUGUCACUAGAACAGGACAAUAUUAAACAGGCCAUUUUUUGCUAUACAAAAGCUCUGAAGUAUGAUGCUACCAAUGUACGUUAUCUGUGGGAAAGGUCAAGCUUAUAUGAACAGAUGGGGGAACAUAAAAUGGCAAUGGAUGGCUAUAGACGCAUCUUAAAUCUCCUGUCCCCUUUUGAUGGAGAACGUUUUAUGCAGCUUGCCAGAGACAUGGCAAAGAGUUAUUAUGAAGCCAAUGAUGUCACCUCUGCUAUUGAGAUCAUAGAAGAAGCCUUUACUAAACACCAGAGCCUUGUCUCCAUGGAAGAUGUUAAUAUAGCUGCUGAACUAUACAUCUCCUGCAAACAGUAUGACAAAGCAUUGGCGGUUAUUACAGAUUUUUCAGGAAUAGUUCUUGAAAAGAAAGCUACGGAAAAAGGAUCUUCUGAGGAGAAUAAAGAAACAAACACAGUAGCUGUUGUGAAAAUCCAAGAAAGCCAAGUGGAAGUGAUGGACUAUCAAGACGUGCCACCUGAAUCCAGUGCUGCCUGUGAGCAAUCUCCAGAGAAAGUUAGCUGCCUUAUCCCUGAUGGAGUUCCUAUAGAUAUUACAGUGAAGCUGAUGAUCUGCUUGGUUCACCUGAGCAUUCUAGAGCCACUCAAUCCUCUCUUGACUACUCUAGCAGAGCAAAAUCCAGAGGAGAUGGGGGAUUUAUACCUAGAUGUUGCAGAAGCAUUUCUGGAUGUUGGAGAAUACAAUUCAGCAUUGCCUCUCUUGAGUGCCCUAGUCUGUUCUGAAAGAUAUAACUUGGCUGUAGUCUGGCUCCGGCAUGCAGAGUGCUUAAAAGCCUUGGGUUAUGUAGAACGGGCUGCAGAGAGCUACGCCAAAGUUGUAGAUCUUGCUCCCUUGCAUUUGGAUGCAAGAAUUUCACUUUCUACACUUCAGCAGCAGCUUGGCCGGCCUGAGAAAGCUCUCGAGGCCCUGGAACCAAUGUAUGAUCCAGAUACGCUAGCACAGGAUGCUAAUGCUGCCCAGCAGGAAUUAAAGCUGCUGCUCCAUCGUUCAACACUGUUGUAUUCCCAAGGCAAAAUGUAUGGCUAUGUAGACACUUUACUCACCAUGCUAGCCAUGCUCUUAAAGGUAGCAAUGAACAGAGCUCAAGUGUGUUUAAUAUCUAGUUCCAAAUCUGGGGAGCGACACCUUUAUCUUAUUAAGGUAUCAAGGGAUAAAAUAUCAGACAAUGAUGACCAAGAGACAGCAAACUGUGAUGCCAAAGCCAUAUUUGCUGUACUCACAAGUGUCCUGACAAAAGACGAUUGGUGGAACCUUCUCCUGAAAGCCAUUUACUCCUUGUGUGACCUCUCCCGAUACAAGGAAGCAGAGCUGUUGGUGGAUUCUUCACUGGAGUAUUAUUCGUUCUAUGAUGACAGGCAAAAGCGUAAAGAGCUGGAGUACUUUGGUCUUUCAGCUGCAAUUCUGGACAAGAAUUUCCGCAAGGCUUAUAAUUAUAUCAGAAUAAUGGUAAUGGAAAAUGUCAAUAAACCUCAGCUCUGGAACAUCUUCAAUCAAGUCACCAUGCAGUCUCAGGAUGUACGACACCAUCGCUUUUGUCUUAGGCUAAUGUUGAAAAAUCCAGAAAAUCAUGCACUGUGUGUCCUAAAUGGGCACAAUGCAUUUGUAUCUGGCAGUUUCAAGCAUGCUCUUGGACAGUAUGUGCAAGCCUUUCGUACCAAUCCUGAUGAGCCUCUGUACAGCCUUUGCAUAGGCUUAACUUUUAUCCAUAUGGCAUCUCAGAAAUAUGUCUUAAAAAGACAUGCUCUUCUAGUACAGGUAAGAUGCUGAAGAGACGUCUCAACAAAAGUUGUGGGGAUAGGAGGGGAAACCACACACUGAAAAUAUGAUCUGGAAAGGACAAUCAAAAGGUCUUCCAAAUAAAAGCAGAAACCCUGAAUUGGAAGGAUGAUUUCACGUUUGUUUUCUGCAUCUCUCUCUCCCCCAGAGGUGUGAGCUUCUGGGAGGCAAGCUAUAUUUCAUCUAAGGCUUCAUGUUUCAACAAUACUUCUUUACUGGGUUUAUAACAAGACAUCUCCUUCUACUACUACCUCAUUAGCUAGCAAACAAGUCAUUAGUUCCAUAUCCUGAAUGCAAAAAUGUCUUCUCUAUAACCAUAAGAGGACUGAAAGCUAUGAAUACCCUUGCUUUCAUAGCAUGGAAUCCAGCUCUUGUUCAGCAGCUGGACUCUUUUCUGUUAAACAUGAUGUUACAGAUGCAGUUCUAAGAAUGUUCACAAGUUUCCGUUUCAGGUGUUGACAUUCUAUUCCACAUUUGGAGGUACUCUUACACAGAUCACCAUUCAAAUUUUUUCCCCAGCAGUGCUCAACAACUGCACUCUUCCCAGCCUUUUCUUGCCCUUACCUCCUGAAGUCUAAGAUUCAUUUUCUGUUUUGUUGUCCUCAGUUGUUCUACUGCAAUUGCUGCAUCUGUCUGAAAAGACGAGAGAAACCAUUUCUAUUCCAUUUCUGCAGUCAGUCAUCAGUAUGCCAAACCUGACUGCGCAAAAAUCUUUUAUUAUUGUCUCACAUCAUAUACUAUACCAAGACUGGAUUGCCAAUUACAGUCUGGGUCAAGAGUGCUAAAAUGAUGAGUGCUUUAUGCACUGUUCAUGACCAAUUAUUUGAGACCAUCAAGAUGUUAGGAUGAACAUAGUGCAUCUUAUUCCCCUUUCACUUAACGGUGGUGAAGCUGUACAAUCCAGAAAAUAUAGGCAAAGAUUAAACUACUAGCAAAAUGAGAGGAGCACUUAAGACUCCAAUGAGGAGGACCCUGAGCUUUAGAGGGGUAAGAAAUAAAUUUUCCUGUCCAGGUUUGGUUACCUCCAGGACAGUGGUUUUCAACCUUAUCUUUUCCACUUGCAGACCCCUAAAAAUUUUGAAUGGAAAUAUGGACCCUACUGGAAGUUUUAAAUGGGGUACAGACUCCUUUGAAUGGUAAGCGUGGGUAUUCACAUACUUUUGAUCAGUCAUCUUUCAUGGAUCCCUAGGGGUCUGCAGACUACAGGAUGACAGCCAAUACUCCAUGAUCACCUCUCCUCAUCUGAGGAUCUCUAGCCGUCUUGGACAAAAGACCAGAACCUGCCAAAGCAUUUCUAAAGAAGCAUGUGCAAUUUGGAAUCUGUCAAAGCAUAGAAUAAGCACCUUUU